AUGAGAAGUGUUCAAUUAGAACAUGAACGCGUGACUCAAUUGGUCUUAGUUAGUCUUCGGGACAGAGUGGAAGAAGGGCGGAGACUCUCAUUGACCGAGGAACCGUAUGAGGUGAAAAUCUCAUGUACAGUUCUGUAA
rnacentral:rRNA from 1 species